rnacentral:rRNA from 1 species
GUAGGGGGCAAGCGUUAUCCGGAUUUACUGGGUGUAAAGGGUGCGUAGGUGGCAGGGCAAGUCAGAUGUGAAAGCCCGGGGCUCAACCCCGGUACUGCAUUUGAAACUGUCCAGCUGGAGUGCAGGAGAGGUAAGCGGAAUUCCUAGUGUAGCGGUGAAAUGCGUAGAUAUUAGGAGGAACACCAGUGGCGAAGGCGGCCUGCUGGACGGUGUACUGACGCUGAGGCUCGAAAGCGUGGGGAGCAA